CCCAGACUCCUACGGGAGGCAGCAGUGGGGAGUAUUGCACAAUGGGGGAAACCCUGAUGCAGCGACGCCGCGUGAGUGAAGAAGUAAUUCGUUAUGUAAAGCUCUAUCAGCAGGGAAGAAAAUGACGGUACCUGAGUAAGAAGCCCCGGCUAACUACGUGCCAGCAGCCGCGGUAAUACGUAGGGGGCAAGCGUUAUCCGGAUUUACUGGGUGUAAAGGGAGCGUAGGCGGCAAGGCAAGUCUGAUGUGAAAACCCAGGGCCCAACCCUGGGACUGCAUUGGAAACUGUAUUGCUUGAGUACCGGAGAGGCAGGCGGAAUUCCUAGUGUAGCGGUGAAAUGCGUAGAUAUUAGGAGGAACACCAGUGGCGAAGGCGGCCUGCUGGACGGUAACUGACGCUGAGGCUCGAAAGCGUGGGGAGCAAACAGGAUUAGAUACCCUCGUA
rnacentral:rRNA from 1 species